rnacentral:rRNA from 1 species
CCUACGGGUGGCUGCAGUGAGGAAUAUUGGUCAAUGGACGCAAGUCUGAACCAGCCAUGCCGCGUUCAGGAAGACGGCUCUAUGAGUUGUAAACUGCUUUUGUACGGGGGUAAACGCAGAUACGCGUAUCUGUCUGAAAGUAUCGUACGAAUAAAGAUCGGCUAACUCCUUUCCAGCAGCCGAGGUAAUACGGAGGAUUCAAGCGUUAUCCGGAUUUAUUGGGUUUCAAGGGUGCGUAGGCGGUCGGAUAAGGUAGAGGUGAAAUCCCGAGGCUCAACUUCGGAAUUGCCGAUGAUACUGUUCGGCUAGAGAGUAGUUGCGGUAGGCGGAAUGUAUGGUGGAGCGGUGAAAUGCUUAGAGAUCAUACAGAACACCGAUUGCGAAGGCAGCUUACCAAGCUACUUCUGACGUUGAGGCACGAAAGCGUGGGGAGCAAACAGGAUUAGAUACCCUAGUAGUC